UGGGGAAUAUUGGACAAUGGGCGAAAGCCUGAUCCAGCAAUGCCGCGUGAGUGAUGAAGGCCUUAGGGUUGUAAAGCUCUUUUACCCGAGAUGAUAAUGACAGUAUCGGGAGAAUAAGCUCCGGCUAACUCCGUG
rnacentral:rRNA from 2 species